CUUCGGGAUAAGCCUGGGAAACUGGGUCUAAUACCGGAUAUACCUCAUGGACUGCAUGGUCUGUGGGGGAAAGCUUUUGCGGUGUGGGAUGGGCCCGCGGCCUAUCAGCUUGUUGGUGGGGUGAUGGCCUACCAAGGCGACGACGGGUAGCCGGCCUGAGAGGGUGUCCGGCCACACUGGGACUGAGAUACGGCCCAGACUCCUACGGGAGGCAGCAGUGGGGAAUAUUGCACAAUGGGCGCAAGCCUGAUGCAGCGACGCCGCGUGGGGGAUGACGGCCUUCGGGUUGUAAACCCCUUUCAGCACAGACGAAGCGCAAGUGACGGUAUGUGCAGAAGAAGCACCGG
rnacentral:rRNA from 1 species